GUUAGUACCUCUUUAGUUUUGACGUUCCUAGUGAUUUUAUUCUCUACUCAGAUUAAGGAAAUUGAACCUCUUUAAUUGAAUGCAGUGGCUACAUGGCUCCUGAAUACGCAAUGGAUGGGCGAUUUUCAGAAAAAUCAGAUGUCUUUAGCUUCGGCAUAUUAUUACUGGAGAUCAUAAGUGGGAGACGGAACACGAGUUUUCAUGAUGAAGAUCAAUGCUUGAGCCUUCUAGGAUUGGUAAGCUCUCAUUGAUUUAGAAGUUGGAACUGCAUUCUAUUCUCAUAAACUGGACCUCCAAUAGUAAAUUGGUUUGAUUAAUUUGCAGGCAUGGAAGUUAUGGAAUGAAGACAAUGUUCUAGCACUAGUGGACCCAAACAUACCUGCUAAAUGCUUUGAGGUUCAGCUUUUAAGGUGCAUAAAUGUGGGGCUUCUCUGUACGCAAGAAAGGGCAAAAGAUAGGCCUUCCAUAUCAACUGUUAUUUCAAUGAUCAACAGUGAAGUGGAUCUUCCUCGUCCAAAGAAACCUGCAUUCACCCCGAGGAAAAUAACCCAAGACACAGAUUCCUCUGGACAAAGCCAAAAGACAUGUCUGCCAACNNNNNNNNNNNNNNNNNNNNNNNNNNNNNNNNNNNNNNNNNNNNNNNNNNNNNNNNNNNNNNNNNNNNNNNNNNNNNNNNNNNNNNNNNNNNNNNNNNNNUGCAUUAGCCCCCUCCUUCAAUAUUCGCAACUGCUCCUUAACGUUUCUAUUUGUUCCAAAUUAGAAUGCAAAUCUUGGCAACGCCAGAAAUACCCUCAAAUUUGCAAUAGCCUUAAGUGUUCACUAAUGUUCAUUUCACAUCAUAAAUUCAAUGACAUGGUUAGCUCAAAAAAUUCCACUAAUCCUAUUGAUGGGAGAAUGAUAUAGUUCAUUUUACUCAACAUUGCAGUCCUCGUCAAUUGAUUGUAAGAUUUCGAUCAAUAUAACCAGUUGUGAGCAACUGGAAACUAAAUGCCAACUCAUGGAAAGCAAUUGCGGCCACAUUCCUAAAUGAAUGCAAGAAUCUAAAAUUUCGGCGGCAUGCACUUUCAAGGGCUUAAAUGCUUUUUCUACAGUUGACUUCGUCAAUGGGGUAGAAAUCCUGAUGUAGACACUCAACCACUUAGUUAACUUCAUCAAUGGGGUACACUCUAGCAUUUAGCUAAUGCUCCCGCGGCGGUGCACUAGAUCAAGAUAAUUGACUCGUAAGGCAAGGUGAAGUGACUCUUCAAGGAAAGCAAUCAAUAUUACUAGUUGUAGUCAACUGAAAACUAAGUCCAUUAAAAUUUUCAUGAAUCCACAAGGUAUUGGGAAAGCUAUUGAGGCCACAAUGUUGAAUGAAGACAACAAUCUAAAUUUCCAUGGCUUGCUCUCUUUGACCCGUAAUCCUCCAAGACCUGAAUGCGUUUUGUACAGAUGCCCUCGUCAAUGGGGCAAAAAUCCUGAUGUAGAAACUCAACCACUUAGUUAAUGCUCUUAGAUUGGCUUGUUAGAUCAAUUGGGAGAAACUAAACCUUUUUAAUGGAAUAUAGUGGUUACAUGACUCCUGAAUAUGCAAUGAAAGGGCAACUUUUAAAAAAUCAGAUGUCUUUAAUUUUGGCAUAUUAUUAUUGGAGAUCGUAAGUGGAAGACAGAACACUAGUCUUCAUGAUGAAGAUCAAUGCUUGAGCCUUCUAGGAGUGUAAGCUCUCAUCGAUGUAGAAGUUGGAACUGCAUUCAAUUCUCAUAAACUGGAACUCCAAUAGUAAAUUGACUUGCUUUGAGGUUCGGCUUUCAAGGUGCAUUAAUGUGGGGCUUCUUUGUACGCAAGAAAUGGCAAAAGAUAGGCCUUCCAUAUCAACAGUUAUUUCAAUGAUCAACAGUGAAGUGGAUCUUCCUCGUCCAAAGAAACCUGCAUUCACUGCGAAGAAAAUAACCCAAGACACUGAUUCCUCUGGAAAAAACCCAAAGACAUGUUCUGCCAACGAUGUUGCUCUUACUGUUCUUCAAGGCAGAUGAUGUGAUCUGAAUUUUUGCAAGAUUCUCCCUACAUGUCCUGCCCUUACCUUUUCUAGUUACUAGUUUUAGUUUUACACAAUCUUGCUCGCAAAUGUACAGAAACGCAAAUCGUGAACUAUUUUUUCCACUUCAUAGUUCUUUACUACACAUAUUUGCGUGAUCAAAGGUUGGGGUAGGAGCCUUCUGGUGGGAAUAAUGCUUCUACUUCUCAUAUCGGGAGCCAGUGGGUUAGAUAAAUUCUGGAAAAUUGCAGACAACCCCCCUCCACUGUGAGGAGAAUUGCAAUUAGCCCCCUCCUUCAAAUGUUCGCAACUACUCCUUGACGUUUCUAUUUGUUCCAAUUAGAAUCCAAAUCUUAGCAACACUAGAAAUAGCCUCAAGUUUUCACCGAUGUUUAUUUCACAUCAUAAAUUUAAUGACAUGGCUAGCUCAAAAAAUUUCACUAAUCCUAUUGAUGUGAGAAUGAGAUAGUUCAUUUUACUCGGUAUCCGGUCCUUGUCGAUUGAUUGUAAAAUUUCAUUCGAGAGAGUGACACUAGAAGUGCCAUAAAUUGUGUAUGGUGCUCACUUAAGGUCCAAAAGUUCUUUUCGAAUCACUUAAAUGUCACUUAAAAAAAAAAUCAGUUAAGUGCCAAUUCCGAUAAGAGUCAUCAGAUAUUUGAUGUGGUAAUAUUUUAUUAAUUUCUUGAUCUUAUGUGGCUCGCCGACAUGCCCAGUCAGCAUAUAAUCACUAAAUGAUGUUAUGUAGUAAGUUAAAAAGUAAUCACUUUAGUGCCAAAAAAAAAAGUCACCUCAAAUAAAAAUUUAAUUAUAAAUGCUGCAUAAUUUUUUAGCCGAAAUUUCUUGUCGAAGGCAUUUAAGUAAUUGUUUUUUUUUUUUCUAAUUUUGAUAUUAAAGUAAGCGUCAUACACAACUUAUGACACUUCUAAUAUCCUUCUCCCGAUUUCAAUAAGUAUAACUAGUUGUGAGUGACUAGAAACUAAGGGCCUGCAUGGUAACGCUUCUGUUUUUUUUUUUUUUUGGUUAUUUUUGUUCCUCAAAAUAGGAAAAAAAAAUCUAUUUAAGAAUAUCAAUUAAAUUUUUUAUUCCCUGAAAUAGAAAAGUAGCCAUGGAAUAAAUUUAGAACAGAAAUAAAAAGUAAAAUAAAGUAGUUUCUUAUUUUUGAAAACAAUUUAUAGAAAUAAGUCUUCUUUUUUUUUUUGUUCUUUUCUUUUUCUUCCUCUUCUAACCAAUGGAGACUUGUCAUCUACCACUGCCCCGUCGGUCGUGAGUCGCCACCGUCCAUCAAUCACUAGUCAUCACUAGCGGUCGUCAUCUGCCACUGCCGGUCACCGAUCACUAUUGUUGCUAAUCACCACCUGUGCAGCAAUCAGCUAGAGGAGGAAGAAGAAAUAAAAAAGAAAAAUCUAAAAAAAAUUAUUGGAAAAUUAGAAGAAAUUUUACAUCAUAAAAAAGUUUGUAUGUUGCACAAAAUGCCUUUAUGUUCUUUUUUUAUUUUAUUUUAGGAAUCGAAAUUUUAUGUAAUUACCAAACACUUUUUACUCAAAAACUAUUUUAGGGAAUAAAAAUAAAAAAGAACUGUUUUUGAAAAAAAAAUUGUUAUUAGGAAGUGAUAUGUUAUCAAACAUACCCCGAACCGAAUGUCAACUUAUGGAAAGCAGCUGUGGAAAUGUGCAUGAAUCUACCAAGAAAGUGGCAAUUCAUGAAAAGCAAUUGCAGUUACUAUCCUGAAUGAAUGCAAGAGUCUAAAAUUUCGGUGGCAUGCACUUUCAAAGGCUUGAAUGCUUUUUCUAGAGUUGACUUGGUCAAUAAGGUAGAAAUCCUGAUGUGGAAAUUCUAGCAUUUAGCUAAUAAUCUCACGUCGGCGCACUAAAUCAAGAUACUUAACUCAUAAGUCAAGGUGAAGUGACUCUUCAGGGAAACUAAUCAAUAUGACUAGAAACUAAGUCCAUUGAAAUUUUCAUGAAUCCACAAGGUACGCGGAAAGCUAUUGGGGCCACAAUGCUGAAUGAAGGCAACGAUCUAAAAUUUCCAUGGCUUGCUCUCUCUGAUUGGUAAUCCUCCAAGAUUUGAAAUCUUUUUCUACGGUUACCCCCGUCAGUGGGGCAAAAAUCCUGAUGUAGAAACUCAACCACUUAGUUAAUGCUCUCACAUUGGCUCGCUAGAUCAAUAUUAUUGACUCGUAAGUCAAGGUGAAGUGACCCCUCAAGUAUGUCACUAUGAGAAAGAAUAACAAAUGUCCAUAAGAGAAAGAGGAAUUUGGUCUGAUUGGAGAAAAAUUAACAAUGUUCAUAAUAUCCAACAUGGACUUUCAAAGGCUUAAAUGUUUUUUUCUAGAGUUGACUUCGUCAAUGGGGUGGAAAUCCUGAUGUAGAAACUCCACCACUUAGAUGCUCCUACAUUGGCUCGCUAGAUCAAUAUUCUUGAGUCCAUCGGUCAAGGUGAAGUGACCCCUCGAGUAUGUCACUAUGAGAAAGAAUAACAAAUGUCCAUAAGAGCCAAAGCGGAAAGAGGUCUGAUUAGAGAAAAAUUAACAAUGUUCAUAAUAUCCAACGUGCACUUUCAAAGGCUUAAAUGUUUUUUUCUAGAGUUGACUUCGUCAAUGGUGUAGAAACUCAACCACUUAGUUAAUGUUUUUACAUUGGCUCGCUAGAUCAAUAUUCUUGAUUCAUAAGUCAAAGUGAAGUGACCCUUCAAGUAUGUCACUAUGAAAAAAAAUAACAAUGUCCAUAAGAACCAAAGAGGAAAGAGUUCUGAUUGGAGAAAAAUUAACAAUGUCCAUAAUAUCCACCAUGCGACUCAACAUCAAAGACCGCCGUGUGGAAAAUUUUUGAAAGACCCGUUUACUAGCCAGGAAAAAUCAGGACUUUGAGAGCAAUAGUUGACGAGGAAAUGUUCCCAUUCGAGCAAUAUAAAUUUCUUCACGGAGAUGCUUAAACCAUCUUUUCCAGUCGAAAAUUUACCUUUAUCUUUAACCACAAAGUUUUCUCUCUAUAAUUGUGAUUUCCACCUUCUGUUCUAAACUUCAGGUUGUGUCUUCUGCUGUUCUAAAGCUAGCAAAAUCAGUUGCUGCUGAGAAGAAAGGUUCAAGUAGUCAUGAUUCUUCUAAGAAAAGUAAGAGUAUUCUCUCUCUUUAUUUUGUCUCAUUAUGCUGUGAAAUUUUGCAUUGGGGGAGAUAUCAUUACAGCAUCUGAGUACAUCCAAGACCCUGGAAGUAUCAUAUCAAGUGGAGGUCUCUACAAACUGGGAUUCUUUAGCCCCAAUGGUACCACCAAUCGGUAUGUUGGAAUUUGGCAUAACAAGAUUCCUGCGCUUAACGUCUUUUGGGUUGCAAACAGGGAGAAGCCUGUUCUAGAUUCUUCUGGUGUCAUGACCAUAUCCAAUGAUGGUAAUCUCGUGAUAUUGAAUGGAAAGAAGGAAGUACUUUGGUCAUCAAACGUUUCCACCUCUGGAGCUAAUGCAAAAGCCCAUUUAUUAGAUACUGGAAAUCUUAUCUUGCAAAAACAAAGCUCUAAUAUGAGCACAAAUGAUACAACGGCAUGGGAAAGUUUCCAGACCAUGUGUGAUACAUUCAUCGCGAAAAUGAAGCUUAGCACCAACUUGAGAACAAAUGAGAAGAAGGUACUCACAUCUUGGAAAAGCCCUUCUGACCCAUCGAUUGGAAGUUUUUCAAUUAGUCUUGAACCACUAAAUAUUCCUGAAGUUUUCCUUUGGAACGGCACUACUCUAUAUUGGCGGAGUGGUCCAUGGAAUGGUAAGGUUUUCAUUGGAAUUCCCGAGAUGGAAUCAGUCUAUCUUGAUGGAUUUACCUUAGUGGAUGAUAAAGAAGGAUAUGUCUAUCUGACUUACAAUUUUGCAGAGGUGUCUUAUUUUUCAUACUUUUUUGUGAGGUCAAAUGGGGAGUUGUUGCAGCCAUUCUGGGAUGAAAAAUAUAAGAAGUGGCGGAUCGAUUGGUCAACCCAAGCAUCUGAUUGUGAUGUUUAUGGCAAGUGUGGUCCAUUUGGAUACUGUGAUGCCAAGAAAUCACCAAUUUGCAGCUGCUUGAGAGGCUAUGAGCCAAAAAAAGUUGAAGAAUGGAGCAGAGGGAAUUGGUCCAGCGGAUGCAUCCAGAAGUCAUUGCUGCAAUGCGCUAGGUUGAAAAAUGGUAGUACUAAAGCGGGAAAAAUUGAUGGAUUUGUAAAGCUUGAGAAUGUGAAAGUGCCGAAUUAUGCAAUCUGGUCAUCUCCUUUGGAAGACAAGUGCCAAGAGCAGUGCCUCAGUAAUUGUUCGUGCGCAGCAUAUGCUUAUGAUGCCGGCGUUGGUUGCAUGUACUGGAGUGGAGACCUAAUCGACGUACGGAAGUUCUCCUAUGCAGGAACAACUCUUUAUGUUCGAGUGGCCCAUACAGAACUCGGUAUGUUCAUUCCUAAAUUAAAUUUCUGAUCUAUCUGGUAAUACAACUUACUGCUAGAUUGGUUAGGGAAUUUCAAUCAAUGUGAUACGCCAGGUGGAGUUGCGAUCCCUGAAAGCUAGCUAAUCAGUUCUUUUCUUAUUUUUUAAUAUGUGCUUCAAUCUCAGACAUCAUUGUUUGUCCGUAUUUUGAUCUGCAGAAGGAAAAAGAGAUCUGAGAGCAAUUAUAGCGACUGCAGCAGUUGUGGCAACUGUAAUUUUCAGUAUUGGUACUUUCUUCGCCUGGCAGAAGUCGAAAAAACGAGGUGGUAAAGACGGAGAACAAUUUUCAAAGGCUUCUAGUGAGAACAUGCUCAGAGGGAGCUUGAGCAAAGUUAAUCUCCAGGAGCUUGUGCUAUAUAAAUUGGAAGAGCUGGCUGCAGCAACAAGCAACUUUAGUGAUGCAAACAAGCUCGGGGAGGGUGGUUUUGGGGCAGUAUAUAGGGUAAUACCGUGUCAUGUAGAGGACAGCAGCUCCAUUUCUGCUUCUUCUUUUUAACUUUAGCAGCUCAUUUACGUCCUUUUGUACAGGGGAGAUUGCUAAAUGGAAAAGAAAUAGCAGUCAAAAGACUAUCAGGGGCCUCUGGACAAGGAUUGCGGGAAUUUAUCAAUGAAAUGGAAGUGAUUUCCAAGGUCCAACAUCGAAAUCUCGUUCGACUCCUUGGAUGCUGUGCCGAGCAAGAUGAAAAACUAUUAAUCUAUGAGUUCAUGCCAAACAAGGGUCUAGAUGCAUUUCUUUUUGGUAAUAUUCCAUUUCUUGUAGUAUUCCGUCCAUCUAUCAUGGAAUACCAGUUUAUGGGGAAGUCAAGUUUUUAAUUUUACCUGUUUAAACCGACAUUGGCUGCACCUAUUGCACAUACUUUACAUUUUCAGUAUACAUGGGAGCCUCUUUCUGUGCAUUACACUCUUCUCCGGUCACAAAUUAACACGUAAUUUUAUGAAUUCCACUUCUGUUGUCUAUUUCAGAUCCUCUCAAACGAGAGCAACUGGAUUGGAGAAGACGGUUCAACAUCAUUGAUGGAAUUUGUCGAGGCCUACUAUACCUUCACCGUGACUCCAGACUACGGAUAAUUCAUAGAGAUCUUAAGACGAGUAAUAUCCUGUUGGAUGAAGAGCUCAAUCCAAGAAUUUCAGACUUUGGAACGGCUAGAAUAUUUGGGGGAAAAGAAGAUCAAGCAGAUACACUAAGAGUUAUGGGAACCUAGUAAGUAUUUUUAUAUGAUGAGUCUCGUACCAAUUUUAUCUUUCUACCUAGCAUGAGGAAUAUUAAAGUGUUUCAUGGAAUGCAGUGGUUACAUGGCUCCAGAAUAUGCAAUGGAAGGGCGGUUUUCGGAAAAAUCGGAUGUCUUUAGCUUUGGGGUAGUAUUGCUGGAGAUUGUAAGUGGAAGACAGAACAAUAGCUUCAAUGAGGAAGAUCAGUCCUUGAGCCUGUUAGGAUUGGUAAGCUGUCACAAACAGAGAGAUCACCCUAUUUCCAUCAGCUCAAGUUCCAAAAAUAAUUAGACUUGAAUUCUGUUUUUUGGCAGGCAUGGAAAUAUUGGGAGGAAGACAAUGUACUUGCGCUAGUGGACCCUAAAAUUUCUGUUGGAUGCUCCGAGAUUGAGAUCAUAAGGUGUAUAAAUGUGGGGCUGCUUUGUACACAAGAACUUGCAACUGAUAGGCCUACCAUUUCAACUGUCAUUUCAAUGAUUAGCAAUGAAAUUGUUGGUCUUCCUCGUCCGAACAAACCUGCAUUCACCGAGAGGCAAACAACUACAGACACAGGUUCCUCCAGACAAAGUCAGAAAAAAUACUCUGCCAACAAUGUCACUAUUACCGCUCUUGAAGGCAGAUAAAAUGAGGAUACCAAAACCAAUAAGCUCGAAAGUUCAGCUCAGAGAUGCAAACUAUAGCCAGCUCGUGUCUUGGACAUGGAGUCAAUAAUGAGUACUAGCGUGAUCCUAUUUGCAUGUACUGUUUUCAAAAGCAGUCUUUGUAUUUUUUUUCCCCUUAAUCAUGUUCUAGCUUGCUUGGAAAUGUAUGAACAUAAAUUUGUGGAAUAGCAAAUUACUACACGUUGGGUGGCAGUUGGGCCUUGCUUGUUUGGGUCAUUCCAAAGCUGGGAUGCAAAUAUUUGGCAAUUUCUGUGUUGGUACAGCAGUUGCUCUUUAGCAAGAAGCUCUGUUCAAUCAACUAGGCCAGUUUGAAACAAGAAAUGUAAUUCCACUAAGCAAGACUUUUCGUACUAAUGUCCAUCAUAUGGAGAAUGAAACUAGAAUUCUGGUGAAAACUUUUUCUUCCAUGUUUGUGCGUGUGGUCUUGUUGAAUUUUGCCUCUUCGUUCCACUUUUCCAUUUGUCUGAGAUCAUAUUAAUAACUAAAGCAUCAGGCACUGUGAAAGCUAUCAGACAAACUUCUCUGUCAUGGUUCUUAAGACAAUGAAGAAUCUGCUAACUUCAACUCGCCACAGAAAGCGUUUUCAACAAGAAUGUCUGUUGGCAUUGUAAAAAAGCCAAUCAAUGUUUCAAAGAACUGACAGAGAAUAACGAUGUUUAGACAUUGUUUUAGUGGAUUAGCCGAUAGAUACUUGGUAUUUGUCCAGAAAAUCACCUUUGAAAUAAUCUGAAAACAAAGUUAAUUCAGCCUAUAGGGGCUUGCCGUGAAAGAGAAAAGGAGAGUUGACACCAAGUCAUUAAAACAGAAAUGGAAAAUUAGGUGUUGUUGGUAAAAGAGAGAGUACUUUAUUUUUUAGAUCAAAAGAAGUAUUUAUAGGCUUAGGUUAAGCCUUGUACAACUACAUAGGUAAAAUACAUAAAUAGGCCCAACUUGCUAACACUUUAGAAUAAUAAAUAAUGAACUCAACACUUGCCUUCUUGUUGGGGCGUAUAUAUCAAGGUGCAACGGCAUCCUUACCCUGAAAAUGUAGUCAUCAAUCUAAUUGUAGGUGAAAUAUAAAUGUCUACAUACACAAAAACAGAGUUUUGGUGAAAAUAGUUAGCCAACUCUCUCUUUUCUCUUUGGCAUGCACAAGUCACUUGCCCAUUUGAAUCACCCCCAAAUUAGAAACAUUAGGGUAAAGAAGAGAGUUGUAAGUGUCACGCCCCGAACCUCGGGUGCGCGCACAUCCCUCGGUGGUCAAUAAAAUUGCGAUGCCCCAGGACGCAUCACCAACCCAUUCAUUUUAUUACACAUGUGGAAGCGAAAUAAUAAUCCCCAGACAACACUCGACAUGGGAUAGAAAAACAGGAUAACAAAUUUCACAAAACACACUUUCAUAAACAACCAAGGUUUAAGUCCAAAAGAAAACCCUAGGCCACCUACACUCUAGAUCCUUCUACCUUGGGCUCUGGAUUCUCCACACUAGGUACCUAAAAAUGGUAACCCACAAUAGGAAUUUCAGUGAGUUUACGCCCUAAACCCUUAUUAGGAAGGUAAUACGCCUAGAGGUAGUCUAACAACACAUUAUAGAAAACUCACCUCGCCUCAGCACCUCCCUGCACGUCAGUACAAUUCGUAUAAUAGAUGCAUAUAAUAAAUGCACACAUCAAUUGGAACGUCUCACAUAGCCCAAUCAAUCACAGGGGUCUCGAUUAUGAGACCAAAUCAUUAUGACGCGUCCCAUUCCAUGCCACACAAUUUUGUCCCAUAAUCAGGCGUGUUUAUCUCAAUUAUUCACACGUUCCAAUUUAUUACUGUCCCCACAGGCACGACCUACUCAACACACAGUGGUCUUCCGGCAUAACCGGCUAUUGUCUCACACCAUCGAGCAUAGCAAAGUAUACCUCAAGACGGCAUUCCACAUAGGAGCAUCGGCCCAACCUCUAUUGCGACCGGCAUCCAUUCUUAGGGGCAUUCCACAUAGGAGCAUUGUCCACCCGACAUACAUCGAGUGACGGUUUCUCAUAACUAUCACAUGACCAUCCAAUCUCAACCAAGGACAUCGUGCAUUGCACUCAAUUUCCUCAAUUAAAAUGAUGUGCUUGGCCUAUUUUCUUCAUAUUAAAAACACUUGAUAAAAUAAUCGUGUGUGGGUACACGGUCAGAUCGAAUAUUAAAAAUUGAUAUUAUUCCUUUUAAAAAUCUCACUAUUUGAUAUAGUAUUUAAAAACAUUUUUGAUGUCAAAACCCUACACCCGGUAUUUUCUAGCUAAAUACCAAAAUUUCACAAUUUUGAAAUAAUUAAUCAAAAAUCACAAUCACCACUCAAUUGCACGAAUUAUCAUUCAAUUGCACAAACUAAUUACACCACAACAACCAACACAAAAUUCUAACGACUGGCUAUCUCGGUAUAAUUUACGGAAAUAAAUAAAUAAUUAAAUAAAUUACAAAAUUAAUUAAAUAAAUGCAAAUAAUUAAAUAAACCACCAAAUUAAAUUAACAUAAGCUAACUUAACCACCUAAGUGCACUAAGUAAAUUACUCUACUAAACUAACUAAUUAUCCUAACCAUUCUAACUAAAUUACUCUAAUAGUUAACUACAUAAACUAAUUUAGCUAAUUAAAUUAACUGACUAACCAUCCUAACUAAAUCAGCCUAGGAACUAAUUACUAUAACCACCUAGUUACACUAACUAGCUAACUAGGCUAACUAGGGAUCUCACUAAUUCCUAAUAAAUUCAACUAAUCAACCGUGAGCAUCAUUAGCCCCCUAAUGAGAGUUUAGGACAUAAACUCACUGUUUAGCGCAAAAAUCGGUUCACGGCGAUGACGGCGCGAUGGCGGCCGAAAACGACAAAGGAAGCUCACGGUUUGAGCUGAUCGACCUGCUUCGGUUUUGUGGAGGUGAAAAUAGUGGCUAGAUGGGCGAGGCUUGGGUUGGCCUUAGCGGCCAGGGGUUGUGGCAUGGGACUACGGUGUUGCGGGUGGAGCGGCGAUGCCUAGGGGAGUUGGCGUGGAGAUUAGUGGUCAACUAACUGGUUGAGGGAAUUUGAUGGGUUGACUUCCACGCAUGGGACGAUGGAUGAAGGGGGGGAAAGGUGGAUGUGUGGCUAUGAUGGUGGAACGGCAAGGUGGUGAUGAUGGUGUUGUGUUGGCGCUGGGGAAGUGGGUGUUGAAGAUUUGUGCGGUGAUAUGCUUCAGUGGAUGGUGAUGAAGAAGGUGCCGUGAUGCUGGUGUUAGUGUGAAUGUGAGAUGAAGCUGAUGAUGAUAAGGGGAAAUGAUGGGAUGGGGAUGGAGCGGUGAUGGAUGGAUUCUGGAUAAUGGGCUGCGACAGCAAGAAAAGGGGAAAGUGAAAGAUAUGAAGAAGAGGAAGAAGAUAGAAGAGGGAGGUCGGCAGCAAAGGGGGACUCACUCAUGCUUUGAGGGGUGGGGGGAAGAAAGAAAGGGGAGAGAGGGAACAAAGCCUUGAAAGUCAAUGUGAAAUAUCUAAUUUCAUCAUUCCUGGUCCCCAAAAGUCCACAUGCUCAUCCAUUUGGUCCCCCAAUACUUUCUUGCACACAAUUCUCACGAAUAACUAAUUUUGAUGACAAAUGUUGCAACCUCCACACAAGUCUACGAAUUUCAUCAAUUUGGACUUCAAUUUCUUCACCAAUCUCUCCAAUUUGAUGACCAAUUUUGCCGAUGAGGAAACCUACACAAUUUUCACAAUUUCCCUUUGCCAAUUAGGUCACUUUGGAGGCCAAAAAUCCACUCACUUUGGUCCUUCCGAAUUUCAUUUCUUUUCCGAAUCGUCCGAAAUUGAUUUUCCGUAAAAAUCUCGGGCUCGCCGAAAAUUCUUAGGAGGAUGAGUCGACGUUCCUAAAAUAAAUCGUGACAUGACAGAACUUUCAAUUUCUGAAAUCGGGUUCAAUUUCGUGGUUAAUUUCAACCAAAUACGAUUUUAGCGUGACCAAACCUACCAGGUAGCUUUUAGGAAUUUUUAGCACAUUUGACAUGUGGUCGAUUAUUUUUGAGCCACAUUGAACAUCUUCAACUCAUUGACGACUCUCGGUUGUCGUGAAAAUUUCGAGAUUUCAAAUAUGAGCACAGGGUACAGAAACGACAUAAAAAUCGAUUUAGUGCCGUUCAACGGGAAUUUUGCAAUUAGGUGGAAUCACCCACACUUUAAUUACAUCCCUCUAUUGAACCGACCUAUUUCCAGUCUCUAAUCGAUUUCGACGGUACCGUAUUGACCCUUGCGGAUUAACACGAUUGAGCAGUCAAUUUCUAAUCGAAUUCUCAAGUCUAUUGCAUUUAGAUUCCUUAACGACUUCACCUAAUAGAUUAGUUAUUUUUUGAGUGGCCAACUCAGAGAAAAAGACUAUAGGCGCAUCAACAAAAAGCCCAUUUAAUUUCAUCAAAAACAUGGUUGAAUAUCAGGAUGUCACAAUAAGCAUACUUUUAUUCAUGAAAUGGGACAAUACUAAGAAAUUCCCAUUCUUAGACAUUUUAGGAUCACAAAAAAUGAGAGUAAGUGAUUUGUUAGGUGACAAUGGCGAGGGAAAAUAAAAAUGAAAAUGAGUUUGUGAUUUUCUUGAUAUGAAAAUUGGAGGAAAAGGACCAUAUGAGUUGACUAUUUGGCCCUUACUAGUGGAUGGAAAGUGCACCAGCAGCACCCAUCAAUUUUUUUUGUUUUUAGGUAAGAGCAGCACCCAUCAAAAUUAUUACAUUGUCUAUACAAAGAAACAGACUUAUUAUCGGUGAUGUAUCUAUGGCUACAAUCUUGGAUUAUUUGGCUUAAAUGGGGAAAUAAAAAUAUCAAAUAUUUUCAUGCCACCACAAUUCAGAGAAGGCAAGGGAAUAAAAUUUCUAUACUAUUAUCUCCUACCAAGAAAUUGGUUCAUGAUUUAGACCAACUAAAACACCAUACAGUUCUCUUUUUCAAUGAGCUUUCUACUACCUCAGGAUCCAGGAAUUUUCAGCUUCUCUUGGAGAAAUGUCCUACUGUUGUAGGGGAGGACAUAAAUCAGUUUUUAAUAGCUAAUGUGACUUUAAAGGAGGUUACAGAAGCAAUUUAGCGAUUGGGUUCCACCAAACCAAUAUGACUAGAUGGCUUGAAUGGGAAAUUCUAUAAUCACAAUUGGAAGAUUUUCAAGCAUUGCAUCUUCGUUGAGGUGCAUAAUUUCUUUAAUUGAGGGAUACUUAACCCGGAGUUGAACAAAACACAUAUCGCCCUCAUCCCAAAGCUCCGAAACCUUGAGAAGUUGGAUCAAUACAAGCCAAUCAUCUUGUGUACCUUUGAGUACAAAAUAAUAUCCAACAUCCUAGCAAUUAGACUGAAACUCUAGCUACAAAAUUUGAUCUCAAUAGAGCAGAGUGCCUUUGUUAGUGGAAGACAAAUCCGAGACAAUAUUAUGGUCGUCUAGGAAGUGUUUCACCAACUUGGAAUAUGAAAACGGAAAAAGACGUUCCAAGUUGAACUCAAGUUGGAGAUGCAAAACAAUGUCUCAUUAGAUAGAAUGGGAUUCCUUGGAAGCAUGUUUGCUAAAAAUGGGUUUUUUUUCCUAGGUGGGUCCAAUGAGUAAUGCAAUGCAUAACUACAGCCUUGUUUAGCAUAAAAUUUAAUGGAGAAUCAAACCCCUUCUUCCAACCUUCUUGAGAUCUUCGUCAAGGUGACUCUCUUUUCCCAUAUCUUUUCAUCUUAGUGGUUAAUGUUCUAUCCUGUAUGAAAGGCUCUAGAGAAGCGAGACAUAAAAGGAAUAAAACUGAAGAGAUCAUGUCCCAUUUUAGCACACUUAUUAUUUGUAGAGAACUCUAUUUUCUUUCUCGAUGGGACUAAAACUAUAGAGAUUUUGAAUUAAUAUUGUUAUGCAUUUGGCCAAGUCAUAAAUCUGAACAAGUCGGGCAUAUUCUUUUGCAAAGAAUGUCCUCAAAGAUUUGAGCACAACAUGUCACGCCCCGAACCCCGAGCACAUGCACAUCCCUCGGCAGUCAACUAAAAUGCGACGUUCUCGAGACGUGUCGCCAACCAAUUCUUUUUAUGCACAUGCAAAAACGAAUUAAACAAACACCCAGACAACCAUCAAAAACAGGGAUAGUAAAAGCAAGACUACCAAUUUUCACAAAACACACUUUAUAAACAAAGCAGGUCAACCCUGCAAGUUCAUAUAAAAAGGUCUGACUCAAAAAGAGACUAUUGAGCCACCUACUCUUCAAACCCUUUCGCCUUGGGCUCCGGAUCCUCCACGCUACAACCUUGAAAGAGAGUUAACCACGAUGGGGUGAGAUAAAAUCUCAACAAUUCAAAGCCCUAAACUCCGAUUAGGAUACAAAUUCACCUAUAGGUAGCCUAAACAGGCACCACACAAGACUUACCUCGCCUCGGCACGUCCCUAUACAUUAGCUCAUCACAUAUGCACUUACAAACGUAGCAAGCACAAUUUAAUAACUGAAACAUAUCAUUUCAUCUUUCAAACAAUCAUAGAGGUCCUGAUUAUAGGGAAAAAUCAUUAUAAUAUGUCACGUUCCGUAUCACACAAUUUUGCCCCAUAAUAAGACAUAGCUAUCUCAAUCACUCAGACAUGUCCCAGUUAUUACGAUUCAUCGGCCACAACCAACUCAACAGUCGGAGGUCAUCCGGCAUAACCGAGCAUUGUUCCGCUUUGUCGGGCAUGACAACGUCUACAUCUGAAGGGCAUUCCAUAAAGGAGCAUCGGCCCAGCCUCCACUACGACCGGCAUCCAUUGACAUGGGGCAUCCGAACUUAAUCAGGCAUCGGCUCCCCAACUCCCGUUGGGUGACAGGUUUCGAUAGUAAUCACACACACAUCCAUACUUGGCCAAGAAUACCGUGCUUUGCACUCAAAUAUCUCAAUUUCAAAUAAUGGAUUUGACCAAUUUUCUUCGUAUUAAAAAAUUCUCAGUAAAAUAAUUGUACGUGGUCACACAUUUAAAUUAAGUUAGUGAGCAUGGUACACUCUCAUUUCAAAAUUCCACGAUUUAUAUACUAUAUAAAAUUUCGGCGUCAAAACCCGACACCCCGUAUUUUUAUAAUUAAAUACCAUAAAAUCGGAUUUUUGCAAUAAUAAUCCAUAACGAACACCAAGCACUCAAUUGCAAAAUUAAGUAGUCAAUUUCACAUAUAAAUUUAUCCAUGAUGAUCAACGCAAAAUUUCACUAAAUGACUAUUCCGUCACAAUUUACGCUAAAUAUAAUUAAUUAAUUUUUUUUUUUUGGUUGUUCUUACUCUACUCCUAUUAUAAUGCUUACUCUCAAACUUUUGCUCUGCCUCCUUGUAGGGCGUGGGAGUCGAAACCCACUCCUAAAAAUAAUGCGUCCUCACCCCAAACCUCAUCACCCCAACCCCCCCGAGAAGGUGAGGAUUCGAACCCCUCAUCUCUCCCUUCCAAGUCGGAAGGGUGGCCACUGGGGUAAACCCCAGUGGUUAUAUAAUUAAUUAAUUAAAUUGCAAUUAAUUAAAUAAAUUACAAAUUAUUUAAACUCAUCCACUUAAUUAAUCUAAAUAAGCUAAUCGAACUAACCUAAUUGAGCUAACUAAACUAACCUAACUAGGCUAACUACAUUAACCUAACUAAGCUAACCAACUAACCUAACUAUUUAAUCUAACUACUCAUCCUAACUAACUAGUUACACUAACUAGAUUAACACUAAUCAUAAUUAACACUAAACUAACCACUAAGUGAAUUAACAUAAUAAUUUGAGAUUAGGGAGUUAACUCACUGGAAUUCAACGACGGCGGGCUCAUGGCAACGGCGAUGCAAAGGUGGUGAUAUCCCGCAACUACGGUGUCACCAACGGAGGACCGUCUGAGGCUAAAAACCAGCCCUACAACUCACAACUGAAGGGGCGGUUAUGGUUUUGUGGAGGGGCUGAGCUAUGGAUGGAGGUGGCGCGGCUGAACCGACGAGCUGGAGGCAGUGACGGCUAAGGUGGACAAUCAGGGAAUGGGCGACUGCGGCAAGCUGGUUUCGGAUGGCAGCUGGACGCAUGAGGCAAGCUGGCUAGUGGCAAGCUAAAGGUAAUCGAGCGGGCAGUGAUGAGGGUUGUACGAGAGGAGUUCUAGCAGUGGAGGCUGCUAAGGGUGGUAGGCGGUGGAGCGAUGGUGGCUUGGUGGCUAUUCUGGUGGUUGGUUGCUGGAGUGGCAGGUGGCAAGGCUGGACAUGAGCUGCAACAGAGGAGACUUGAAGAAGAAGAAGAAGAAGAAAACAUAAGGGGUUGGCUGGGGAAAGAAGGCAUGCAGGGGAAAGAGAGGGAGAAUGGAAGAGAAAUGAAGUCAAGGUUUUGGACAAUCACAUGGCUUGCAAAAUAUCACAUGCACUCAAGUGUGAACCUCAAAAGUCUUCGGCCACAAUAGUCAAGGCAUCAUCCAAUAGGCAUUUUCCUUCUAAUUCUUCACAAAACAAUUCAUUUUGGUGGCCAAAAGUCCCAUGGCAGCAGCCCAUACGAAUUUCACUUUAAUUUCCUUUUUGCUUAAAUUCAUUUUCCGCAAAAAUUCCGAAUUCGACAAAAAUUCUCCGAAUGAUGAGACGAGAUCCUAAAAAUAAAUCGUGACAUGCUCGAACAUCCGAUUCUUGAAAUCGAAUUCCAUUUUGUGGUUAAAAUCGACUGAAUGCAAUUUUAAUACAACCUAACUUAUCGGAUAGUUUUUAGAGAUUUUAGCGCGUUUGACUCGUAGUUGAUAAUUUUCAAUCCACCUUUGUGUAUCUCCGACUCAUAGACGACUCUCGAUUGUCGUAAAAAUCGCAAGGUUUCAAUCAUGGGUACCAAGUAUAAAAUCGAUAGAAAAUCGGGUUAGUGCCGUUCGACGCGAAUUUCGCAAUCACGUGGAAUCACCCGCAAUUCAAUUAUGUGAUUCUGUCGAAUCGACCUAUAUCCAAUUACAAUUCGAUUAUAACGGUGUCGUAUUGACCUUUACCGAUUAUUAUGGUCGAGCAGUCGACUUCCGAUUGAAUUCUUGAGUCUAUCGCGUUUAUAUCCUUUAACGGCUUCACAUAAUAGAUUAGUUAACUCAUGAGUGAUCAACUCAAAGAAAAAUGACCAUAGGCGCAUCGACGAAAUGCCAAUUUCAUAUAUUCCGGAGGGGGUUGAAUUUUCAGAAUGUCACACAACAUGCUAACAAACUUCAUGUCCCAAAAAUUGUGAAAUAAGUAAAUAUUUGGGAAUGCCUUAUCCUUGUGGUGAAUCCAAUAAAUAAAUGUUUGCUUAGAUUUUGUCACGAGUUUACAUGAAGUUGGAAGGUUGGAAUGAGCAUUUAAUAUCUAAGGUUGGAAAAGAAAUUAUUGUAAAAGUAGUGGUGCCAGCACUUUUGCAAUAUACAAUGUUGAUUUUCAAAAUCCCUGUUUCUAUUUGCCAAAGUAUGGAAUAAAAAAUUGCCAAGUGCUGCUGAAUAAUAGUGAGAAUAGAAUCGGGUUACAUCAGAGGAAAUGAGAAAUUCUCAAACUGGGAAAGGAUAAUGGGGGUUUAACUUUAUAGAUUUUGAUAACAUUUAAUAGAGAAAUGCUGGGAAAGAAAGCUUGUUUUCUUCCUUAUUUUGAAGCCAAGUCUUAAAAGAACUCUACUUCCCGAACUGUGACUAUUGGAGAGCUGCUAGGGGAAUUCCACCAUCAUGAGGCUGGCAAAAGCCUUAUUAUAGUAAAAAAAAUGUGGUCAGUGCAAAACGGGGAAAUAUCAGAAGUAGAGAAGACAAAUGAAUUCCCAGCAGAGUGAUUCGUAGCCCUACUAAUAGAGAUUAGCCUCAUAAAGAGGCAAAACUGAUUAAUCGAGAUAACUUGGAUGAUACCAGCUUUGAAUGAGCUAUUUGAUGAAGAACUAAAAAAUGAAAUCCGAGCGAUUCCAUUGAAUACACGUGAAUUGGAAGACAAACUGAUUUGGACAAACACAAAGUCGGGGGUGUACUCAAAUGAAAAGUGGGUAUAACAUAUGCAAGGAGGAAAACGAAAAGUAGGGCCAAAUUUGGCUUCAUCCUCUAAUCAAACUCCUCGAAGCCUCUGGUCAUGUGGUCAGUGCGAAACAGGGAAAACAUCAAAAUUAGAGAAGACAAAUGGAUUUCCAGAGGAAUGAUUGGCAACCCUACUAAUAGAGAUGAGCCUCAUAAAGAGGCAAAACUGAUUAAUUGAGAUAACUCAACUUGGAAGAUACCAGCUUUAAAUGAACUAUUUGAUGAAGAAAUAAACAGGAAAUCCUACCGAUUCGAUUGAAUGCACGUGAAUAGGAAGACAAACUAAUUUGGACAAACACAAAGUCUGGGGUAUACUCAAAUGAAAAGUGGGUAUAACAUAUGCCAGGAAAAUGAAAAAUAGUGCCAAUACUUGGCUUCAUCCUCUAAUCAAACCACUCAAAGUCUCUGGACAAAGAUUUAGAGGGCCAAUGCCACUCCAGAAAUCAAGCUCUUCAUUUGGAAUAUAUGCAAGAAUGCAUUACCAACAAAAGCGAACAUAUUUGGGAGAAGUAUUACCGAAGAGGAUACUGUGAGUUGUGCAGUCGACAGUUGGAGACUCUGGAGCAUCUACUAUUGUUAUGCACUUAUACAUGCCAGGUUUGGUCAGACCUCACGUUCCAGAUCCUUAUCAAUAGUCGUGGUCUUACUAGAAUUGAAGAAUGGCUGUUUCCAGAGUACCUUGGUGAGCUUUGAACUUUUCGUUUUAAUUCAUUGGCAUACAUGAAAAUCUAGAAACAAUUUUACCUUUUGCAACUUCUCGUGAGUUGGGCUUGGGCCAUGCAUCAUAAUAUCAACAAAUGGAACAGGUUGGCAGGGAAAAACGACUAUAUUGGAAGAGACUCACUUCAAAUCUUGCCCUGUCCGCGGUAAGAAGCCCUUGAGGUAAACAUUGAUGGAUCCUUUAGAAAGGGCUCGACAGAAGGAGCGAUUAGCCGUGUGUGCCAUGACUAGGGGUGUUUUGGUGGACGGAUUCGCAAAAUCUACGCGAGUAACUUCAGCAGCUCAGGUGAAAGCAAACGCUCCAGUAGAAACCCUAGAUUUCCUCGGCACAUGAAACCAUCCAAGUCUUCAACUUGAGUCAAACUCCUUAGUUCUGAUACAAGCAGUGACACGAGCAAAUUAGUUUCCUUGGGAUGGGGAGGCGCUUAUGAGUGUAGCUAAGAGGAAGCUCCUGGGCUUUGAUGAUCUUAUCCCUCGCCCAUUGUAGCAAGAUGCGAAUAAGGUGACAGAUUGGGGUCAAGUAUAGCAGAAUUGAGAUGACUUUCGUAUGGCACUUCUUAAGUAUUAUAACUUAUUUUCGAUUACUUAAGUACCACAUGGGAUAAAAUCAAUCAUUUAAGUGUCAUUUUCGACAAAUCAUCCCACAUGGAUUUUUUUAAUAAUUUCCCAUCCGGCAUGGAUUUUUUUUUUUUUUUGAAUUUUUUUUAAGGGUUGACAAUGUUCACCGGCCUACUAUGAAGGAAACACCUCACCUCGCCUCUGCCUUCAUGGCCAAGGCUGAGGUCACCCUUGACCAAUCUAGGUGAGGCCUCCAAAGCUACCAUAAGAAAAGGCAAAAACAAAUUCAAAAAAUAAUAAACAAUUAUUAAAAAUAUUUUAAAAAUUGUUUAUGUCGGUGUCUGUGAAGCCAUGCGGAACAAUCGACAUUCACGUCAAAAUUUUUGGUAAGGCAAAUCGCCGAUGGCUCUCAAGUGGUCGAUUUUCAAAUUUACGGCACUCAAAUGAGCAAAAAAAAUGUUAUUUUAAGUUAAUAUCAUACAAAAGUUAUGGCACGCCUAGUGUACUUAUCCCUACAGAUUGAUUAGUUAAAGCCCAUAGAGAUGGAUACUUGGUCUUUAAUUGGUUGUCCAAACCUCCUAAAUCCCUGUGGGCUCUUCUUUUUUUCGAUUCUAGCCUUCCAGCAAUCGUUACCCGAGUAAUGAGAAGUACACUUUCCAACAUAAUUUUUUUCUUUUUUUUUUACAAUCAGAAACCCGAGAAGCAGUUUUGGGUCUGAUUGAGACCAAAAAAGAACAUAGCGUGUGUUAACAUAGACAAAAGAAGUUUCCAAGGUUGAGUAAACAAUCGUGAAAGUGUAUUGGGAAAAAUUGCAUUGACCCAAUUUAUUUUAAGGGUAAAAAGUAAUUUGCCACUGGUUUGUAAUAGCUAAAGGAAUAUGGAAAACAACCUUCUUUUAUGAAGAUCAUUGAACUUAAUAUAAGAUUUACUUGCUGUGAUUACUAAUAUAUUGAAAUUUAUUUUAAGAUUGCUAAUUUUGUUAGGUUGAAAGUAUUUUUCCCUUAAAAAUUAUCAAUCACUUGAAAAAGUUACUAGUUAAUCAAAAUCUACAAUUUUACAUGAAAGGUUGCUCGUUCUACAUGGUCCAACAACUUAACCAAUAACUUUUUUCCCAUAAAAGUUAUUAAUCAUCUACAGAUAUUGUUGCUUACCUAUAAAUUGUUAUGUAAACUUAUUAAUCAUGUCGAAAAAUUUACUAAAUAGUUACUUCUAACAUAUUGAAGAAUAUAUCGCUACUAAAAUUCCCUAGUUACAUAAAAGAAUUACUAAUGACUAUAGACAAAUAGGUAAAUGCUUACUUUCUUAAUUUGAAAUCUCUAAUUUUUUGUGGGAUUGUGAAAAAGUUAUAAACAUAUACUUUCAAUUCUGUCCAAACAGAGUCCGGAAAAGUAAUUCCAGUCUUAAUUUUAAUCGACUCAUUUGGCCUCGCCAAGCUCAUUUAGACCCAAUAAAUGGAAUGAACAAAACAUUAAAUACUAAAAUAGAAUCGUUUCGCUUAUUGAUCAGGUCUAUUACAACAAUAAUCGGUGAAUCCAUGUCGGCCCAUCAAGAAAACCGGCCAGACACCAAACCGUGCCCAACGGCGGGGGCAACCUCCGAAGGCUCAAGUCCUUUUCACACGGCUUGGUUCGGGCGUUGUCUCUCUUCUUGCCUGCCGAAACUGACAGCAAUGAUCCAAUUCGGAAAGUGUCCAAAAGGCAGUCUCCUCCGACAUGUCCUUUCGUUCCUUCCCCACCGUCCCAUCCUUCGUUGUCUCGUGCGAGCAAAUUGAGAGAGCUGGGGCCGUGGCGAUGUGAUCACAGUGACCCACCACUCAGUCUUCGUCGCUUUAUUCCAUCCUACAUAACUCACAUGCUAUGACGAGUCACUGAAGAUGUGAUGUCCGGUCGUCGUCGUCCUCAUCCUCCUCCUCCUCCUCCUCCUCCUCUCACGCGCUGCUUGGCGAGGCCUUCACUUUCGUAACACGAGUCAUCAGCAGCCACUGAGACCACGAAUAGGUGGAGAAAGAUUAGAGUUUCAGUAUGUGCGGUUUAGGGGGAAAUUAGAGGUUUGUUCGUGUUUCUUGAAGACACAGAGUAAUUUGGGCUAAUGCAGUUCAGCCAUCAGAUUGGCAAAGUUGGUAUUUUCAGAAGGGUACCUGGGUAAAAAUGCGAGCAAGAUAUAACUUUUCUUAAAUUUCUUUUAUUUAAAUUAAUAUACACUGAAUAAUUUAUUUUGCCUUUUCGAUUGACAUUAAUUAAUGGUGCUUAAUAGAAACAAUCAACCCAUGACGUAGUUAAUUGAGAUUAACCCAACAACUGACUAAAGAAAGUUAACAUUGAUUCAAAGUAAUAACUUUGAGUGCUCGAGAUAUUGAUGCGUUAAAUUGUGAUGCUGCACAAAUACGCAUCAUGAGAUUUUCAAAUGUUUUCAAAUUUAGAGAAAAAAAAAAAUCGAGGGUGAAUUCUUAAAGACCCAAUUUUGUUGAGUGAUGGGUUGAUGGGAGAAUUCUUAAGGGCUUGUUUCAAAUGACUUUUUCUCCCUUAAAAGUUUUUUUUUUUUAAUAAUCUGUGAAAAAUCACUUGAUAUUACAUGAGUUCAAAUGCUAUAUUCGAGAUGCUCGUACUUCAAAUGAAAUUUAAGACGCUAAGCAGAAAAUGAAAGUCGACUGAACCUAUCCUAAGAAUAUCAUGACCAAGAACAAGAAAAUCGUCGAUAUGAACAAGAAGUGAUUUAAGUGAAGAUGAUAAGAGAUCCAAUAUGCAACGCCUAUGCUUAAUAGCAGAGACCACAAUCUUAAACUUUGCAAAAAACUGUCGGGCUAUAUUGGCUAGAAAAAUCAGAUUAGGCAAUACCGCUUUCUUCAUGCAGGUCCUGAAGUCCGUUAGACAGGGACUAUGCAAAUGAUAACUAGGCCAUGUGGGUAUCUCUUGAAGUGGGCAACCGCCAUCAACUUCAACCACUAGGUCUUCCUCUGCAGAAUUCUGAUUUUCAUCUUCUGUCCUCAAAUUCACUUGCGGUUCGUUGUGUUCUUGGUGCCCUCUCUACCAAAGCCAGUAGUGCUGCAGCAGCGUGUCGUGUUAUAGGUUGUUGUUGAGGAGAAAAGAUGCAAGUUGUCAUCAUGGUAUUUCUGGGAAAAGCGAGAUUUUUGUCUCUUUCUAGUGUCUCAUUAUGUUGUAGAAUUUUGCAUUGGAGGAGAUGUCAUCACAGCAACUGAGUAUAUCCAAGACCCUGGAAGUACAACAUCAAGUGGAGGUCUCUACAGAAUGGGAUUCUUUAGCCCUAAUGGUUCUGCAAAUCGCUAUGUGGGGAUUUGGUACAAUAAUGUUCCUAGAUAUAAUGUUCUCUGGGUAGCGAAGAGGGAAAAUCCAAUUUUAGACUCUUCUGGGGUCAUGACCAUAUCCAAUGAUGGUAAUCUUGUGGUCAUGAAUGCAAAGAGAGAAUUAGUUUGGUCAUCAAACGUUUCCAACUCUGUAACCAAUGCAAAAGCUCAGUUGUCAGAUUCUUGAACCUUGUCUUGCUCAAGCAGACCUCUGAAUCUAGUGCAAAUGAUGCAGAGACUCUUGGAAACUUUCCAGCACAGACGGAUUCAUUCUUAGGGGAAAUGAAGCUCAGCACUAACUCCAGAACAAAUGAGACGUAGGCACUAACAUCUUGGAAAAGCCCUUCUGAUCCAUCAAUUGGAAGCUUCUCGGCAAGUCUUGAUCCACGAAAAAUUCCUGGACUUUUCAUUUGGAAUUGCAUACUGGCAGAGUGGUCCAUGGAAUGGUAAUAUAUUCAUUGGAGUACCUGAGAUGCAGUCAGUCUAUAUUAAUGGGUUUAACCUGGUGGACGAUCACGAAGGAACAGUCUAUCUGACUUAUAGUUUUGCUGAGGUGUCUUAUGUGUCAUAUUUGUUAUAGAAAUCAAAAGGGGAUUUGGUGCAACCAUACUUGGAUCAGAAUAGCAGUUCCUGAGGGAUUGUUCGGUCAUCUCGGAUGAGCAAUUGUGAUGCUUUGGAAUCUUCAAUGCCAAGAAAUCACCAAUUUGUAGCUGCUUGAAGGCUUUGAGCCUAGAAACUUUGAGGAAUGGAGCAGAGGAAAUUGGUCCAGUGGAUGCAUUUGGAAGUCAUUGCUGCAGUGCAAUGGAACUACAAAUGGAAGCAGUACAGCCGGCAGAAAGGAUGGCUUUUUAAAGCUGCAAAUGAUUAAAGUGCCAAACUCUGGAAUUUUUUUUCUACCCUCGAAGAGGAUAGCCCGGGAAAUUGCUCAAUGAAUUGUUCGCAUGUAGCAUAUGCAUAAAUGACUCUGGUGCUGGCUGCAUGCUCUGGAUAGGAGAACUAAUUGACCUACAGAAGUUCUCUGUUGGAGGAACAACUCUUUACAUUCAGCUCGCCCACUCAGAACUCGAUAAAUUAACUAUACGCUUCGAUGGUUCUUAUCAAUUUGGUACUGCAACUUAUGUUUAGAUGGAUCAAUACACUUGGCUUGAGUCAUUCUUCAAGACUUGGUGAUUUCAUUAACAAACCAACACGGAUGCACACAUGCAUGCUCAAAUAUAGGCUUGAGCAGCGUCUAAUAUGGAACCCUGAUAAAAGAACAGAUUUAGCAUAUCAUUUUUACUGUGACAAAGUCUCAUUAUUGGCUAUGAAACAAGGGUUCCAAAAAAAUUCGUUUAGUAGUUGCUCACCGGCAGCAUCAACAUAGUCUCUGGAGAUCAGAAAAGGGACAUCUGAGAGAAAUCGUAGCAACUACAGUCAUAAUAGGAACACUCGUUGUCAUCAUCAUAAUAUGGUUUGCCAGGUGGAAGGCGAAAAAACGAGGUAACAAGUAGUGCAGCUGUUGAAUCUUGGAAUUGCCAAUAAUUUCUGAGUUUGCAUGGAAUAAAUAACAAAUAUUGUUUUAUAGAUCAGCAGUAAAGGAAAGCAAGGAAAAACAUUUGUCCAUUGGAGAAGCCCCUUAAGUGGUAAUGCUUGGAGAGAACUUGAGCAGAGUUGAGUUCCAGGAGUUUGUGAAAUAUAAAAUUGAAGAAUUGGCUGCAGCAACUGCAAAUUUUGGUGAGGCCAAUAAGCUUGGACGGGGGUGGUUUCGGGCCAGUAUAUAAGGUAUAAUUAUUCAUGUAGAAUUAAGUAUUAUAUAUGUAGUUGUGUGUGUGUGUGCGCGUGCUGAAUUUAGCAGCUCAUUUAGUCCGUGUACAGGGGAGACUACCAAACGGUCAGGAAAUAGCAAUCAAGAGGCUAUCUGAUGCAGCCCACAUUGAAGACCGGCUCCCUCGACCAAGAAAAUCGGCCCGUAUUAAAGCUCGACGAAACCGAGAAGCCAUAACGACAUCUCGAGUCCAUCCCGGAAGCUUGAAAGACACUUGGAAGCUCGUGUGACGCAUUUACUAGCUUAUAGUUUCCAUGCUCUUUUACUAGUUUCUAGUUCCUAGGCUCUUUAUUAUUUUUCUAGUUUCUAGGCUCUUUAAUGCUUUCAAGUUUCUAUGCUCUGUUUUUAUUUCUUUGAUGAUAUAAGCCAUCCAAUCCCUUGUAGAAGACAGACAACUUUUGAUGAAUGAAAAGCUUUGCUUGAAGCAAGUAUCAUGAACCUUGUAGAGUUCAUACCUUGAAAACCUAGAAGAGUUUUCACUCCGUCCUUGAAGAGUCGGAGCUUUCGAAAUCUGCAUCCUUGAAGAGUUGCAGUCAUCGAUCUAGAAGAAUCGGUGUCCCUUUCAACUUCCUUGGAGGCCUAGAAGAGCAACCAACGAAGUUCCUAUCUUUUCCUAUUCUGUUCGUUACUUCCAACCUAAUUUCGACUAUCCUACGGUGCUUAUUUCAGAAAACCCAAAACAGAGAAAUUUUAGAUCCAGAAGUUUUUGUUCAUUUGGCUUUGGAAUCAGGUCGAUCCGAUCUGUAUCGACAAAGAUACGACUGUUCUCCUGAGCUUGCGCAGUGCUGAAAUUACUGUUCUUCCCGUUUCUUGUGCGCGAGUCACUCUCCCGAUCCUAUUGUUUGAGAAAGCCUCCCCUAGGCUUGCAUCAUUUGGUAUCAGAGCUUUGGAGGAGAGGACAAUGCCUCCAAGACAAGCAAGGCGUCGUGGCGGCAGAACCGUUCCCCUCAAUGAAUUGCACACACUCGCUGAGAAUAUGCAACAACAAAUUGACGAACUGACGCAAGAAGUUCAGCGAUUGAGGGCUGAAGCAAAUAAUUCUCCACCCCGUUCCAGGACUGAAAAUUCCCGUGGUGACUCUUCCUCUUCGGAGAGUGUUCAAUCUAUUCACGGUCGGAGGCAUGUUCGACAUCGUUUACAACAUAUUCGUGAGCCCGAUUGGGAAAAGGAAGUCAAGAAAGAUGUUCCAGAAUUUACAGGUACUGAGUCUCCUGAUGAAAUUGUUGAUUGGCUGACACUUGUGAAUGAGGUGUUUGAGCAUCGGAAUGUUCCGGAGAAUCGUCGCGUUGGGAUCAUUGCUAUGCGAUUCCGAGGCAAGGCGAUUGCUUGGUGGAGACGUGAAAAACAAACUCGCCAAUCCGUUGGCAAAGCACCAAUCACUUCGUGGAGAAAGAUGGAGGGCAAGAUUCAAAAAUAUGUUCUCCCCAAAGGAUAUAAGAGAGAGCUCUACCAACGGUACCAAAAUCUAAAACAAGGUACACGAGCGGUGGACCAAUACACCAAUGAAUUCAAUGAGUUGGUGAUUCGUAACAAUAUCCAGGACCCAGAGGAUGUGCUUGUGAACAAAUACUUGAAUGGUCUUCAAUUUUACAUUCAAGACGCCUUGGAAGUCCUCGACAUUUGGGACUUAGGAGAUGCACACCAACGGGCACUCAAAAUGGAGCGCUCUCAUUCUCGGAGACAGCAAUCUGCUAGUAAGCCUUCUACUCAACCCCAUGUUUCGAAUCAACCUGCUACAUCCGAAAUACGUUGCUAUUCUUGUGGGGAGUUGGGUCAUCGUGCUAGCAAUUGUCGAAUCAAUAAGAAUCGACCAACCGGUAAAGCCUUUUUGGUGGAUGAUGAUUCUGAUGAGAAUGCUGAGAAUCCACUUGAAGAGGAGUUGAAAAAUGAUGAAGAAGCUGCGGAUGAUGAACAAAUAGUGCAUGCUGACACUGGCGAACUUCUUAUGGUGAGGAAAAAUUUUCUUACUCCUCGAGACAACACUAUGGUGAGAAAAAAUUUUCUUACUCCUCGAGACGACAUUGGAGAUAGGUGGUUGCGUACCAAUAUUUUUCAUUCUGCUUGCACAAUCAUGGGAAAGGUGUGUCAAUUAAUUAUUGACUCUGGUUGUUGUGAGAAUAUAAUUUCUGGUUGUUGUGAGAAUAUAAUUUCUGAAGUAGCGGCAAACAAUCUGAAGUUGGAAUUAAAAACGCACCCUACGCCUUAUAAAAUGUCGUGGUUGAAGAAAGGCACUGAGGUAACUAUUUCCAAACGAUGCCUUGUUAAUUUGUCCAUUGGUUCUGUUUAUAGUGACAAGAUAUGGUGUGAUGUUCUACCGAUGGAUGCUAGUCACAUUAUUCUUGGUCGACCAUGGCAAUUCGAUAGGAGGACUAUGCAUGACGGUUAUCGAAAUACAUAUUCUUUUGAAUUUGGAGGCAAGAAGAUUACGUUGACACCUAGUAGGGUGGGAGAUUCUUCUGAUGAUGAUGGCAAGAAUUCGAGGACGAAUUCUUUUAAAGAUGGGGAGGAUGAUGCAGCCCACAUUGAAGACCGGCUCCCUCGACCAAGAAAAUCGGCCCGCAUUAAAGCUCGACGAAACCGAGAAGCCAUAACGACAUCUCGAGUCCAUCCCGGAAGCUUGAAAGACACUUGGAAGCUCGCGUGACGCAUUUACUAGCUUAUAGUUUCCAUGCUCUUUUACUAGUUUCUAGUUCCUAGGCUCUUUAUUAUUUUUCUAGUUUCUAGGCUCUUUAAUGCUUUCAAGUUUCUAUGCUCUGUUUUUAUUUCUUUGAUGAUAUAAGCCAUCCAAUCCCUUGUAGAAGACAGACAACUUUUGAUGAAUGAAAAGCUUUGCUUGAAGCAAGUAUCAUGAACCUUGUAGAGUUCAUACCUUGAAAACCUAGAAGAGUUUUCACUCCGUCCUUGAAGAGUCGGAGCUUUCGAAAUCUGCAUCCUUGAAGAGUUGCAGUCAUCAAUCUAGAAGAAUCGGUGUCCCUUUCAACUUCCUUGGAGGCCUAGAAGAGCAACCAACGAAGUUCCUAUCUUUUCCUAUUCUGUUCGUUACUUCCAACCUAAUUUCGACUAUCCUACGGUGCUUAUUUCAGAAAACCCAAAACAGAGAAAUUCUGAAACCCAAAACAGAGAAAUUGUAGAUCCAGAAGUCUUUGUUCAUUUGGCUUUGGAAUCAGGUCGAUCCGAUCUGUAUCGACAAAGAUACGACUGUUCUCCUGAGCUUGCGCAGUGCUGAAAUUACUGUUCUUCCCGUUUCUUGUGCGCGAGUCAGGGGAGACUACCAAACGGUCAGGAAAUAGCAAUCAAGAGGCUAUCGAGAGCCUCAGGACAAGGGCAGCAGGAAUUUAUGAACGAACCGGUGGUGAUUUGUAAGGUCCAACGUCGAAAUCUUGUUAGACUGCUCGGAUGCUGUGUUGAAGGAGAUGAGAAAACGCUAAUCUAUGAAAUCAUGCCAAAAGAGUCUGGACACAUAUCUUUUUGGUAAUAUUUUGUUUAUUUCAACGUUGCCUCAAACUAUCAUUUAUAACGUAGAUCCAGAAAGCCUCAUUUGUAUAGUUAGCUGUUAGCCAUUGGAACAGGAUUGGACUGUUCUUGCUGAUGAUGCUAUAAGUUUUCUGUUUGCCUUUGAUCUUCUGUACAUUUCACUAUUUUCCAAUUGCAAAAAUGAUUUUUUUGCAUUAAACUUCUCUGUCUAUUCAGAUCCAUUGAAACAAGUACAUUUGGAUUGGAGAGGACGGUUCAACAUUGUUGAUGAAAUUUGUCGAGGUCUACUUCAUUUUCAUAGGGACUCUAGCAUAAGGAUUAUUCAUAGAGAUCUGAAGACAAGCAAUAUCCUGCUGGAUGAAGAACUAAAUCCAAAAAUUUCAGACUUUGAAAUGGCUCGGAUAUUUGAGGGAAACGAAAAUCAAGCUAAUACACAAAGAUUUGUGGGAACCUAGCUAGUACUUCGUUAAUUUUGAUAUUCCUAGUGAUUUUAUUUUCUACUCAAAAUAAGGAAAGUAAACUUGUUUGAUUGAAUACAGUGGUUAUACAGCUCCAAAUACGCAAUGGAGGGGCAAUUUUUGGAAAAAUCAAAUGUCUUUAGCUUUAGAAUAUUAUUACUGAAGAUUGUAAGUGGAAAACGGAACAUGAGUUUUCAUGAUGAGGAUCAAUUCCUGAGCCUUAUAGGACUGGUAAGCUUUCAUUGAUAUAGAAGUUGGAAUUGCGUUCUAUUCUCAUAAACUGGAACUCCAAUAGUAAAUUGACUUGAUUAAUUUGCAGGCAUGGAAGUUAUGGAAUGAAGAGAAUGUUCUAGCACUAGUGGACUCAACAAAGCCUGCUACAUCCUUUGAGGUUCAGCUUUCAAGGUGCAUAGAUGUGGGGCUUCAUUGUACACAAGAAAGGGCAAAAGAUUGGCCUUCCAUAUCAACAGUGAUUUCUAUGAUCGACAGUGAAAUUGUGGAUCUUCCUCGUCCAAAGCAACCUGCAUUCACCGCGAGGAAAAUAGCCCAAGACCUCUGGACAAAGCCAAAAGACGUGUUCUGCCAACGAUGUUACUCUUACUGUUCUUCAAGGCAGAUGACAUGAUCUGAAUUUUUGCACGAUUCUUAC
rnacentral:lncRNA from 1 species